UUGUGAGUGAAUGAGCUGGGGCAAAAGAAACACACAGAAACUGACAGAAGAGAGUGAGCACACAAAAGUAAAUUGCAUAUGUUGCAUUUGCUUCUCUUGCGUGCUCACUGCUCUUUCUGUCAGAUUCCCGUGCUGAUCUCUUUGGCCUGUCCUUGUUCCUCUUUGUCUCAGUCUCUC